GGCAGGACGCCACAGCAAUCAGCGCGCGGGGGGAAGGGCGCUCCUCCUCCGCGGUCCCCACCGGAGCUCCGGGCCGCCGAGAAACUCCUCCUCCCGCCGCCCGUCUCCCCGCUCUCCUCCCCCUUUUCCUCUCGGGCUGAUGGAUGAACCCCGAGCGCGGCCGGAGCCUGCGUUUCCCUUCGGACCGAGGAGGGAGGGAGAGGAAAGGAGUACUGGGGACGUCUGGGGUGCUGCGCGCCCAGCCUCAGGAUCUUUUCCAAUGAGUCGGUUCUUUGCAUCAAGUGACCAAAGGGUUGGAACUUCAGCAUCAGCCCUUCCAAUGAAUAUUCAGGGUCGAUAUCCUUCAGGAUUGACUGGUUUGAUCUCCUUGGAUGUACUACCUGUCAUCAGAAGCUUUACAUUAUUGGCGAAAUUAACAAAGAUUAGAAAAUGAUGCAGAGAGUGAAGAAACUUGCACAAAGUCAAACAACCAGCAAGUGUAACUUGGCUGAUUGACCCAGAGUGUGCUCUGAACCUCCACUUUAUGCUGCUACAGGUGAAAAUAGAGCCCCAUCCAUCAAAGCAAGAGUCAUAUUCUUAAAGCUCAAUUCUUUUUUUUUUUAAAGCUCAAUUAUUUAAAAGUUUCAAAAGAUAAAGUUUGUUGAGAAAUAUUACCCUCCACCACCACAUAAAAAUCAAUUCCUUUCACCCAGGAAAGAGGAGAAGAGACACUAACUUUAAAGUUUGUCUGAAAUAGCCAAGAUCUUGGAAGCAAUUGCAUAACUCCUCUUAAGAAUGUGUGACAGAACAUGAACCAACUGUUCCAAAAUUGUUGUGACAGGAGACUGGUCUACAAACUACAGUCUCUGCUCCUAUUUUCUGCUCGGCUGACCUAUUAUUACAGCAAGAUUUACGACCUUAUUUCUAAAAUUUGCCCAUAAAGAUUCCAAUUCAUACCUGUAGGUGUUUUAUAUAUCACCAUAACCUAAAAGCCAUAAUCUAAAGCCACAUUUUCUAUAUCUAUAUCCAAGAUUAGAAUAUGAUUUUCACUGAUAAAAUUUGCAGCUGGCAAAUUUCAAAUUAAUGAGGAAAAAAAUACUCUCAGAUGAGCCUGUUUGCAGAGCAGAGCCCAAAACAGACACCUGAUUCAGGCCUGGUGGAUUCCUCAGAGAAUUUGGAAAUAAAAAUCCAAAGCAAAUUCCCUUCCAGUAAGCCCAAGUUCCUGCAAACUUGUCAUUUCCUGUGCCUGUGCGGAGCCUCCAAUGGCAGUUUCCACAAUGCACCUUCAAUUUCCCUCUCAGCGGGUCUUCUGAAAAAGCAGGAAACCUCACACCAUUUCAAAGGAAUAGCAAACCCCACUGAGAUCCCUGUGGUCUUAGCUCCCUAGGGGAUGAGGCCGAGCUUCUGCUCCCCCUGCCUCAGGUGCGGAGACUCCAGAGGGAAGGCUUCUCCCCGGCCCCCACCUCCAUAGGUGCCCUGCAGAGAACUUUCGUUUUGGCCUAGAGAAGAGAAAAAAUCACAAACAUCUUAUUUUGUGACAGGGGGACCAAAAAAAGACCAAGAGCCCCGUGCACAUAUAUUAAUAUCUGUGAAUGUUACAAAUCUUAUUACUUUCAUUUAAUGAAUAUGAGAAAUGCUGAAACACCACUUGUAAAAAUACCAAAAUUUAAUAUUUCCAUUGCUAUUGUUCCUCUGUUCUCAUUGUUAUCAUUACCCUUUACUGAGCACUCACUCUGUGUA